GCAAGGCAGCCAUGAGGCGGAGGACAGGCUGGGGGACCCCAAUGGGUCCACUCCGGCCCCCACCCCAGGCACUGGGACUCUGGUGGCACCCUGGAUGGCAGGCAAGCCUUGAAGUCAAGUGCACGCGCCUUGGAAAGGAGGACAGGGAGAGUUAUGGGAUUUAUGAAUGAAGAAGAGAAAGAGAAUCACUCGGAUGGGAAAAGUUAACUGGAUUGUUCCCACCUGCAUGGAUCACCGGGUCUGGACAGCUGCUUGUUAUAUUUGGCUCAUGCUAGCUUAAAAAAGGAAUUUAUGGACCUUACUGCAGAACGUCCCAAUUCUUCAGGCCAAGAAAACCCAUCCAGACGAGGCUCAAGUCAUAAAAGAGCAUGAGACAUGGAUCUCCAUUUGUUCUGAGGAAAAUUCCCUGGAGUCCAAGGGUUGUGUGAUGAGGCCCCCCGCCACCACUCCGUAACUUCCUGGCCAUCUGCGUGACUCGCAACCCUGAGGCUUCCAAGGAAGAGCAUUUUAGCCACCCCUCAAGACUGCUUCACAGCCGGCAUCGCUUGAGCACAUUGCCUCAUUUUUUUUGAAGGGAUCACGCUGGUUUAUGGCUUUUUCACCUCCAAACCUGCCCUCACUGGGUGCAGGAGAAAUUCCGAUUUGCCAGGAACCUGUCCAGUCAUCUGGAACCUUCCCCAGGGCUGGGAAGGUCAACUCCCGCCACAGGUCAUAUUGAUUUUAUUGGAUGGCUUUUUCCAAAGCAGUGGAACAGCAGCAGGCGGGGAGGGUUUCCAGCUCUGCGCGGGAGCACACGGCCCACGCUGCCUGAAACGGCUCUCCCGUUCCUCGCCAGUACAGGGAGCGGGUAUAGGGGCUGGCCCACCUACAAUCCCCUCCUAGAUCAGGCCUUUGCUUGCAUUAUCAGAGUGGGAUUGUCAACCUGGUUUCCUUAAAUUGCUGCAUGAGCUCGGUCCAUGUGUGGUCACAAAGCAAGAUACCCCAUCCGCCCCACGGAAUAUAUUAAGCGUCUGUGCAGUGAUUGCUGUUGACCGCUUCCUGGGAGCUGGCGAGGAAGCCCCUGCUAGCCCCUGAUAGGGAAGAGACAGUCGUGGGGGACAGAGCAGAUGUGCCUUGGGAAGAGUCAAAAGGGAAGAGGGAGGGGUGGGCUGGGUUGAAAGCCUGCUGGACCUGGGCUCUACCCUUUAUCACCUUCCAAGGGAGGCAUGAUCCCAUUGUACAGAGUAAGGCCCUGAGGCCAGGAAGGGCAAGGUGACCUGAGAGCUAGCGGGAGAAGCCAGGCCUAGCUCCAGAAUCCUUGCCUGUAACAGAGAGAAUGGCUGUUCUCUCACUUUGGUACACAUCAAAAUCAGAGGGCUUGUCAAAAUGCUGUUUCCCAGGCCCCCACACCAACUCCUGGGGGACAGACGUCUCUGGAUAGCAAGUCACAGAUGUGUACUGGCAGGGGCCACAUGAGGACCCAUGGCUACACUGCUGACCAAAGGUCUUCUCCAGUGACAGGCAAACGACUCUGGACCCAUGAACACCAGGGGAGUGAUCCAGGGAGAGAGAAGAUGUUUCGGGCUCUCUGGUUGUGAAUUCUAAUCCCCAUCGUUUAUCUGAUCCUUUCUCACUCCAAAUGGUUUGGAAAUGCCAGCACACACUCAACUUCCUCAGAGGCACAUCUGUGUUUCGUGGUGCAACAAGGAAAGCCUGGGUGCAGGCACAGAGGUCUGUAGUCACGUGGGAGUUUGGAGGCUGCAAGUUGCUUGAUGCUGGUGGAUUAUCAAGUAUGAGAUGUGAUGUGGAGGGGUAGAUAAGACAGAUCGUGAAGGUUAAAUAUUGUAUCUGUCCCCUCCGCCUUUUUUUCCCCCCCAAGUGGUGACAGGAAGUCUCCUAAGGGUUUUAACUGGGGGAUGACAUGGCCAGUCCUAGGUGUUUGAAGGUUCACCCUGGCUGCAGUACAGAAAGGCAAAGCUGGACCAGGGCAGUUAGGAGCCUUGUGUGGUCCAAGCAAAAUAUACAGAGGCAUUUGAGUUCAGGUUAACCUGAAUGAGGAGUCCUUAUAGAUCCGCGAGAGCAUUCACUAGAGAAACCAGAAGAGCCACACCUUAGCAGUGGGCCUAAAUUAUUCCUACAGUAAGGGCUACAUUAGACCCACCCUAACCAAGAUUAUAAACAAGUCUCCAAAGGGUCAAACUGAACCACAAGUUUGAUUUGCCUGAAAAAGUUUUGCCCCCAAAAGUCUUUAUUUUAUAAUUAUCUGCCUACCAAAGCAAAGCCCAACACUCUUCGAAGGAAGACAACAACAUUUUAGACACUCAACAUUGAAGUGUCUAAAUGUUCUUAGAGCAGAAAGGAAAUGAUGCCAGAUAGAAAUUUAGAUCUACAAAAGAAAGAAUGACAAUAACAAA